AACAAACGAGUCUUGGUAGACUUCUAUCUCCUGCUGGACAUUUGUCUACAAACUAAAGCAAAAGCAAAUACCACAGUAAACAGACACCUGAACCACCGCUUCUUCUCUUCCUCGGCGAGUCUUCCUCUCCGCUCGGUGGGUCUUCCUCUCCAUCAGACAUUUAUUCUACUUUUCAUUCCAUCUCUCAAGAACUUCAUCUCCCCUAAGUGUUAUCUCAUCUGUUUCGAGCCAACCGCAGUUCCUCUACACACAACCUCCGUCCAAGGUCCUGCAUCUGAAGAAUUUGCCAUGGGAAUGCACUGUGGAGGAGCUGAUUGAACUUGGUAAACCAUUUGGUAAAGUUGUCAACACCAAGUGUAAUGUUGGGGCCAACCGAAACCAAGCUUUUAUUGAAUUUGUUGAGUUAAAUCAAGCUAUAGCGAUGAUAUCAUAUUUUGCUUCAUCAUCAGAAGCGGCUCAGGUCCGAGGGAAAACUGUCUACCUACAGUAUUUUAAUAGGCAAGAAAUAGUGAACAACAAAACUACUGCAGAUGUUGCUGGAAAUGUGCUGGAGAUGUUGCAGAUCGCCGAGAACUUAGUAGCUUAACAUAAAAUACAAACAAAGAGGCGAAGAAAGAACUGAAAGAGAUACAGUUACAAGCUGCUCGAAGAAUUACUUAUGAAAUUUGGCAAUUUUGCCUGGAGUAGGAGCAACUUUAGGGGAAGUUUGCCGAGAAUAUCUAAAUGGACGGUGUGCAAAAAGUGAUUGCAGAUUCAAUCACCCACCGCACAGUUUGCUGAUGACUGCAUUAGCUGCCGCAACCACCAUGGGAACUCUCAGCCAGACUGUACCAGUUAAUCCCCAUUCUUGAACAAUUCAACCGGAAAGCAUGUCAUAGUCAAACUGAAGUGGGGAAUGGAAUACAAAGGUAAUGGCUUAAUAUUGGGUUAUUUUAAGCCCAAUACAGUAUAUGCUAGGUUUUCAUAGUGUUACGACUGACUACUAUAUUUAUCGAUAUUCGGCAUCUCUUUUAGCUUUAUAUCAAUCUGUGGUAAAAGAAUAAAAAAUGCGUGCUAUAGAUUUAUAGCAGCUAGCUUAAACUUAAGAGAGUAGCUAGGGACAUCCAGCCAAAUGCGAAAGAUGGUUGUAGUCCAUUGUGUUGAUGGACUAGAAGAAUGUUAAUUUCCAAUUUCUGGUAUAUAUAAUCGAGGCGUUGUAGAUC